ACUGGAGUUUGUAUCCUGGCUCAGGAUGAACGCUAGCCGCAGGCCUAAUACAUGCAAGUCGAACGGUGAUAGCAAUAUCAUAGUGGCGCACGGGUGCGUAACACGUAUGCAACCUACCUAUUAUUGGGGGAUAGCCUUUGGAAACGGAGAUUAAUACCGCAUAAUACGAUUGACUGGCAUCGGUUAGAUUGUUAAACGCUUUGGCGAUAAUAGAUGGGCAUGCGUCAAUUAGUUAGUUGGUUAGGUAACGGCUGACCAAGACGAUGAUUGGUAGGGGAUCUGAGAGGAUAACUCCCCCGACACUGGCACGUGAGA
rnacentral:rRNA from 1 species